rnacentral:rRNA from 1 species
CUUUCGUUAGAUCACCGAAGUGAAGCAUCAUUGGGCGCGGUCAGUACUUGGGUGGGUGACCACCUGGGAACAUCGCGUGCCGUU